rnacentral:rRNA from 1 species
GGAGGUAGUGACAAUAAAUCUCAAUACGAAGCCUUUGGUUUUGUAAUUGAAUUGAGAACAAUGUACAAUCGUUAUCGAUAAACAAUUGGAGGGCAAGUCUGGUGCCAGCAGCCGCGGUAAUUCCAGCUCCAAUAGCGUAUAUUAACGUUGUUGCAGUUAAAAAGCUCGUAGUUGAAGUUUAGGUAAUUUGUAGAGAGUGUUAGUAUUCGUACUAUCUGCUCUCUAUAGAUUAUCGACUUCCAGGUAAGCUUGAUAAUCCCUCCGGGGACUGUCAAGCCAGACUGGUCUUUUACUGUGAGAAAAUUAGAGUGUUUAAAGCAGACUUUUAUUUAGUUUGAAUAGAUUAGCAUGGAAUAAUAAGAUUGGCUUUCAUAGUCGAUUUUUUGGUUUGUUUAUGAAAGCAAGAUUAAUAGGGACAGUUGGGGGUAUUCAUAUUCAAUAGCUAGAGGUGAAAUUCUAUGAUUUAUGGAAGAUGAACAAGUGCGAAAGCA